rnacentral:tRNA from 1 species
UACGCUUUAGUAUAAGAUGUACAAGAAUUUUUGGUAUUCUAAGGGAUAGUUUAAUUCUAUUAAGCGUAA